rnacentral:rRNA from 1 species
GGCCUAACACAUGCAAGUCGAGCGAGAAAGCUCCUUCGGGAGUUAGUAAAGCGGCGAACGGGUGAGCAACACGUGAGAAUCUACCCUUUAGUGAGGAAUACCCUCGAGAAAUCGAGGCUAAUACUGCAUAAGUCCCUUCGGGGAGAAAGAUGGCCUCUUUGCUAUCGCUAAAGGAUGAGCUUGCGUACUAUUAGCUAGUUGGUGAGGUAAUGGCUCACCAAGGCGAUGAUGGUUAACCGGCCUGAGAGGGUGUACGGUCACACUGGAACUUAGACACGGUCCAGACUCCUACGGGAGGCAGCAGUGAGGAAUCUUGCGCAAUGGGCGAAAGCCUGACGCAGCGACGCCGCGUGAAGGAUGACGGUCUUCGGAUUGUAAACUUCUGUUAAGCGGGAAGAAAAGCCUAUUUCUAAUACAGAUAGGAUAUGACGGUACCGCUAGAGAAAGCAC